rnacentral:miRNA from 26 species
UAUUGCACAUUACUAAGUUGCA